AUACGUAGGUGGCAAGCGUUGUCCGGAAUUAUUGGGCGUAAAGGGCUCGCAGGCGGUUUCUUAAGUCUGAUGUGAAAGCCCCCGGCUCAACCGGGGGGGGUCAUUGGAAACUGGGAGGCUUGAGUGCAGAAGAGGAGAGCGGAAUUCCACGUGUAGCGGUGAAAUGCGUAGAGAUGUGGAGGAACACCAGUGGCGAAGGCGGCUCUCUGGUCUGUAACUGACGCUGAGGCGCGAAAGCGUGGGGAGCGAACAGGAUUAGAUACCCUGGUAGUCCACGCCGUAAACGAUGAGUGCUAAGUGUUAGAGGGUUUCCGCCCUUCAGUGCUGCAGCUAACGCAUUAAGCACUCCGCCUGGGGAGUACGGCCGCAAGGCUGAA
rnacentral:rRNA from 1 species